rnacentral:rRNA from 1 species
CGAAAGCCUGACGGAGCAACGCCGCGUGUGGGAUGAAGGCUCUCGGGUUGUAAACCACUGUCGGAGGGGACGAUCGUGACGGUACCCUCCAAGAAAGCCCCGGCUAACUACGUGCCAGCAGCCGCGGUAAUACGUAGGGGGCGAGCGUUAUCCGGAUUUACUGGGCGUAAAGCGCGUUAAGGCGGAUGGUUAAGUUGGCGGUGAAAUUUCGGGGCUUAACCCCGAAACUGCCGCCAAUACUGGCCGUCUAGAGUGUGAGAGAGGAAGGUGGAAUUCCGGGUGUAGUAGUGAAAUGCGUAGAUAUCCGGAGGAACACCGG